CCUAACAACUCACCCCGUGCUGCCACUUGGACAUCUUUUGCUUCACAUGACCAGGACCGUCCCACUUCUGGCUCCCUGUCCAGGCAGUGGAGAGAAGUGGGCUCCAACUAUCCUUCUGAAUAUCAGUGUCAUUCCUGAGCAAGCACUUGUGAACAGAAUUGAACUUCUGGGAGACAAAGAUGCUCAAAUGGAAACCAUACUGGCAUUUAAACCAUGACCCCAGUGAUGCAAGACUGUAGCUACUUGCAUUGAUGCUGUGCAAAGGACACAAGCAGUUAUUCUUGGUCAUGUAUUUACAAAACCCUGAAUUGAGAUUGAUUUGAAGAGUUGCUUGUCUGAAUUUCUUCUACUAAAGAGUUACUCAAAGAAGGGAAGAACAUGAAGCAUGAAAAGAAGCUCUUGAGAAGAAUCCAGCCAGGUCAGCCAACCAACCUCCAUGCUUCUUUGAAGAAAGAGGGUGCAAAGGCAGAACAGCUGUCCAGUGAACUAGAAGAAAUAGCCCUGAAGAUAGCUUUGUGUCUGAUAUGACUUUGAGAGGGAAAAUCAUCCCAAAGAUAAAUGCUUCAAAUGAAGUUUCUAAGGGACAGAAU